rnacentral:snRNA from 1 species
AGCAAUUCAGUGGCAGUAUUGUAGCCAAUGAGGUUUAUCCGAGGCGCGAUUAUUGCUAAUUGAAAACUUUUCCCAAAAAAUCUUAGUGAUAAUGUUUGAAACACUAGUUUUAAA